rnacentral:rRNA from 1 species
GACGUAGGGGGCCAGCGUUGUUCGGAAUUACUGGGUGUAAAGGGUUCGUAGGCGGUGUGGCAAGUCGGGAGUGAAAUUUCUGGGCUCAACUCAGAGACUGCUUCCGAAACUGCUGUGCUUGAGUCCGGGAGAGGUGAGUGGAACUGCGAGUGUAGAGGUGAAAUUCGUAGAUAUUCGCAAGAACACCAGUGGCGAAGGCGGCUCACUGGCCCGGUACUGACGCUGAGGCACGAAAGCGUGGGGAGCAAACAGG